CUUCUCUGUCUCAGGAUUCCUGCCUUGCAGCCUGCACACUGCCUACCAAUGCCAGUUGCUUCGGAUCUGGACGAUGGCCAGCAUUCAUCUGCCUGCCCCUUGUUGUGAAAAAAGACGCAGAUAGAGAUGACUCUACUGUAAUUCCUUGUUCAGGGCAGGGCCCCCACAAUGAUCCUGUUUAUGGCCCCCAGUUGUACAGGGCAGGCCCUGCUGGGAGAGGAAGAAAGAUACUGUUGGAGCAGAGAAACCAACGGGAAACUGCUGUCUGCUGUCCCCCCUAAAAGGAGCAAGCUCCAAACUUUUUCGACUCACUUUUCAAGGUUGCAGAGUAAUGGUGAUGUGUGGUGAUCUUCUUCAAGGAGAG